rnacentral:rRNA from 1 species
UGGGGAAUAUUGCGCAAUGGGCGAAAGCCUGACGCAGCGACGCCGCGUGAGGGAUGAAGGUUUUCGGAUCGUAAACCUCUGUCAGAAGGGAAGAAACCGCACUGUGCUAAUCAGCAGUGCCUUGACGGUACCUUCAAAGGAAGCACCGGCUAACUCCGUGCCAGCGGCCGCGGUAAUACGGAGGGUGCAAGCGUUAAUCGGAAUUACUGGGCGUAAAGCGCACGUAGGCUGCUUUGUAAGUCAGGGGUGAAAUCCCACGGCUCAACCGUGGAACUGCCUUUGAUACUGCUUAGCUUGAAUCCGGGAGAGGGUGGCGGAAUUCCAGGUGUAGGAGUGAAAUCCGUAGAUAUCUGGAGGAACAUCAGUGGCGAAGGCGGCCACCUGGACCGGUAUUGACGCUGAGGUGCGAAAGCGUGGGGAGCAAACAGG